rnacentral:tRNA from 1 species
GGCGUCGUAGCUCAGCCUGGUUAGAGCACAGGUCUCAUAAGCCUGGGGUCGGGGGUUCAAAUCUCCUCGACGCCA